rnacentral:tRNA from 1 species
CGUCCGCGACAGGACUCGAACCUGUAAUCUUCUGAUCCGAAGUCAGACGCCUUAUACAUUAGGCCGAAGAC